rnacentral:lncRNA from 10 species
GUGAUUUCUGUCUGUCACACACCAUUGCUUGGACAACUGCCAUUGCAGUUCUCUUGGGCUUUAAUCUUUUCUAUUUUUUUUUUUUUGAGACAGGGUCUUGCUCUGUUGCCCAGGCUGGAGUACAGUGGCAUGAACAUAGCUCACUGCAGCCUUGACCUCCUGACUGAAGCAAUCCUUCUGCCUCAGCCUCCAGAGUAGCUGGGACGACAGGCAUGCACCACCACACCCUACUAAUCUUUUAAUUUUUUGUAGAGACAGGAUCUCCCUAUGUUGCCCAAGCUGGUCUCAAACUCCUGGACUCAAGCAAGCCUCCUACCUCGGCCUCCUGAAGUGUUGGGAUUACAGGCAUGAGCCACGGUGCACAGCAAGAGCUUUAACCUUAAUGACCAUUCAUUCUCUACCCCACAUUACCUACAACUGAUACAGAUUGCCUGCUCCUGCAGAGGGCUGCUGCCAUGUCAUGAGCACUCUCAAGCAGCUCUAGCGAGGGGUCAUGUCAUGAGGAACUGAGACCUUCUGCCAAUAGCUGUGUGAAUGAGCCAUCAUGGAGGCAGGUCCUCCAGCCCCAGUCAAGCCUUCAGAUGAUGGCAGCCCCAGCUGAUGAUUUGACUGCAAACUCUCAUGCAACCAGGAAUAAGAACCACUCAGCAGAACCACUCCCAAUUUCCUGACCCACAGAAACUGUGAGAUAAAUAAAUAUUGCUUUAAGCUGCUGUGCUUAGGGAUAAUUUGUUACACAGCAAUAGAUAAGUUAUACAUUUUGUAUGACUUUUUUUUUUCUUUUUGAGACAGGGUCUCACUCUGCCACCCAGGUUGGAGUGCAGUGGCAUGAUCACAGCUCACUGCAGCCUCAACCUCCCAGGUUCAAGCGAUACUCUUGCCUCAGCCACCUGAGUAGCUGGGACCACAGUUGUGCACCACUACCCGUGGCUAAUUUUUUAUAUUUUUUGGUAGAGACAGGGUCUCCUUAUGUUGCCCAGACUGGUCUUGAACUCCUGAACUCAAGCAAUCUGCCCACCUUGGCCUCCCAAAGUGCUGGGAUUACAGGUGUGAGCCACCAUGCCUGGCCCAUAUAUGACUUUUUUUUUUUUUUCAGGUUAGACGGGUAAUGUGACAAUGUUGUAACAAGGUUCAGAGAGUGGCAGAUCUCACACAUACACAUAAACACCCAAUCAUCAUGCUCAUGAACUGCAAAAGGAUCUUAUAUGACUAUUCUUGAUAAAAGGUUGUUGAACGAAUUCUUUUCUAUCAAUCCUUCCUCAUGGAGACUUCGGACUGUUCAUUCUCCAUAUUAUGUUAGCACUAUUCAGAAACCCUGAAUCCCACACAUUAUUGGUGAUGUUACUGUUACUAAACCAUGCCUGCUAACUAAUGAAGGACCCCCUACCCCUUAAG